rnacentral:tRNA from 1 species
GGCUAUACCCGGGGAUUGUUUGUCUUGAAAACAAACUAAAAGUGUUCAACUCACUUAAUAGCCU